AUAUAAGGAUGUCAAUAAAUCAUAUACCAAUAACCUAUCAGGCUAUGAGGGUAAUCCAUCCUUCUUAGUCGACUGGCCAUGGUGCAAUUACUUAGUUGCAUGAGUUCUGCGAUCGUUUUCAGUUCUCAGUUCUCACGGUAUAGUUAUUUUCAGUGCCAAAUGAAUAUGAACUUUCGUCAUCCAAACCUUUUCUUUCUUUUUCUAUUCUAUUUGUAUAUCGUCAUAUUUGGUGUUCUCAUCACAUUUGUAUUGAAUUAUAGGUAAGAAAGAGAGAACAGACUUGACAUAUUUUCUGAAUGAAAAUAAUAUCAAUCUAUAUAUAUAUAUAUAUAUAUACACACACACAAUAGUUAAGUUAGGUGCGGACGUCCGCACCAAAGUUUUUGGUACGGAUUUCUAUUUUUGCACCACUUCCCGAUCGAAUUUCCUCAAACUUCCUUCUAGACAUAUCUAGAUCAUCUUGUGUAGAUCAUCUCUGCAAAAUUUCAGCCAAUUUGGUAAUGGUUAAGGCCCUUAAACUCGAGUUUUUCUUAUAUGAACACAACCGGACAGAAUUCAGUCCGUCCAUUUGUAUAUAUAUAUAUAUACAAUGCUGAUCAGGUGCGGUAUUUCCNNNNNNNNNNNNNNNNNNNNCCCUUAAAACCCUAGUAAGAGUAUUCUUAACUUAAUCCUAUAAGUCGCAAGGAAAAAUAGAUAACUUUCUUGAAUAUUUUGAUAACUUAAUUACGAAAAUUUAGGUUGGUGAAGUUUUUACAUUAAAUGAGGUGAUUUUUUUUUCUUUCAAAAAUCCAAUAAAAAAUGUAACCAUAAAUUAAGCCAUAGCUCUCUCUCUCUAUAUAUCUAUUUGCCAUCACCGGUACCACAACAUCGAUUUCAAAAUCAACCACUUAACAAUAUUCCCACAUCAUUUGCGCAAUAUCAUCUCACAUGCAGAUUACCAUGCACACAAGUUCUCAACUGCAUAUGGGUAUAUGUAUUGAUUUAGAAGCCUAAAUAGGUUUUUAAUUAUUUUGACAUGUAUGCUGAUGUUUUUGAAGAGACGAUAUAUAUAUAUAUAUAUAUAUAUAUAUAUAUAUAUAUAUAUAUAACUGCUUAAUUAUGUACUAGGUGAGAACAUUUGUUGGAGAAGGAAUGAAUUCAAGAUAUUGAUAUCCACUAUUGUUUUGUCUAAAUAGAAUUAAGAUAUUGGAAGAUAUUAAAGUAAAUGAAAGUUUUCUUUUCAUUGGAAUGAAAGUUGAGAAUUACAAAGAUAAGCGACUGCAAGCUGUUGUGGAUGUAACAUACGGUAUCCAAACGAGCCUCGGGAGUCCAUUAUGUGGUCUUCGAUUAUGGCACGCACCGUCUGAUUAAGCAUAUCCGUGUUCCCAUGACAGGAGAGUGGAUGAACCUCUCCGAGAUGGGAAAUCGUGAUGGUGGUGAGUCGAUAUAUGGGCACAGUCAGUCUAUUACUGACUUGAGGGGUGAGAGAAAGACGUUUGAAUGUCUAACUUAUUAAUGUUCAGAUAAGUUUGGCGGAGGAAGUGAGAUAAAAAAAAAACUAACUCGAUUGAUUACAAUCCAUGUAUAAUUUUGAUGGAGGAAGUUAAAUCGAACUGUCAACUUUGCACAACACAUCCAUAUAAUGUUUUCUAUAUAUGAUAAGAACACUAGUUGAGUUUAUAUCUACAACAUUGUUUUGGCACUGACUAAGUUUUUGUUUCCUAUCAACUUCUGAAAUAAAUCUAGCCAAUUCAAAAUAAUUAAAAUAAAUGAUGUCAUGCAUGCUAUUUCUAGUUCUUGCACUUUCAAGCAUAAUCCAAUACGCAUUUAAACCGAAAAUAUUAAUAUUCA
rnacentral:lncRNA from 1 species